rnacentral:snRNA from 7 species
AGGCCACCUGACAGGUGAGGCACCAUGCUCACAAAGGUGUUUCUCCCAGGGAAAGGACUGUCUCUUGCACAUUGGGUGUGCCGACACCUGCAACUUCCCCAAAUGCAGGGAACUUGACUUCAUCUUUUGUGAUAAUGGCAAGCUCUGCUCAUGUUCUUCCCU